GUAACGGAGGCGCCCAAAGGUUCCCUCAGAAUGGUUGGAAAUCAUUCGUAGAGUGCAAAGGCAUAAGGGAGCUUGACUGCGAGACCUACAAGUCGAGCAGGGACGAAAGUCGGGCUUAGUGAUCCGGUGGUUCCGCAUGGAAGGGCCAUCGCUCAACGGAUAAAAGCUACCCCGGGGAUAACAGGCUUAUCUCCCCCAAGAGUCCACAUCGACGGGGAGGUUUGGCACCUCGAUGUCGGCUCAUCGCAUCCUGGGGCUGUAGUCGGUCCCAAGGGUUGGGCUGUUCGCCCAUUAAAGCGGUACGCGAGCUGGGUUCAGAACGUCGUGAGACAGUUCGGUCCCUAUCCGUCGUGGGCGUAGGAAAUUUGAGAGGAGCUGUCCUUAGUACGAGAGGACCGGGAUGGACGCACCGCUGGUGUACCAGUUGUUCUGCCAAGGGCAUAGCUGGGUAGCUAUGUGCGGAAGGGAUAAGUGCUGAAAGCAUCUAAGCAUGAAGCCCCCCUCAAGAUGAGAUUUCCCAUAGCGUAAGCUAGUAAGAUCCCUGAAAGAUGAUCAGGUUGAUAGGUUCGAGGUGGAAGCAUGGUGACAUGUGGAGCUGACGAAUACUAAUAGAUCGAGGACUUAACCACA
rnacentral:rRNA from 1 species